AUUGAACGCUAGCGGCAGGCUUAACACAUGCAAGUCGAGCGGGGUGAUGGUGCUUGCACUAUCACUUAGCGGCGGACGGGUGAGUAAUGCUUAGGAAUCUGCCUAUUAGUGGGGGACAACAUCUCGAAAGGGAUGCUAAUACCGCAUACGUCCUACGGGAGAAAGCAGGGGAUCACUUGUGACCUUGCGCUAAUAGAUGAGCCUAAGUCGGAUUAGCUAGUUGGUGGGGUAAAGGCCUACCAAGGCGACGAUCUGUAGCGGGUCUGAGAGGAUGAUCCGCCAAACCGGGACUGAGACACGGCCCAGACUCCGACGGGAGGCAGCAGUGGGGAAUAUUGGACAAUGGGGGGAACCCUGAUCCAGCCAUGCCGCGUGUGUGAAGAAGGCCUUAUGGUUGUAAAGCACUUUAAGCGAGGAGGAGGCUCUUCUGGUUAAUACCCAAGAUGAGUGGACGUUACUCGCAGAAUAAGCACCGGCUAACUCUGUGCCAGCCGCCGCCGUAA
rnacentral:rRNA from 1 species